UACGGAGGGUGCGAGCGUUGUCCGGAAUCACUGGGCGUAAAGGGCGCGUAGGCGGCGCGGAUAGUCGGCGGUGAAAGCCCGGAGCUCAACUCCGGGUCGGCCGUCGAUACUUCCGGGCUUGAGCACUGUAGAGGCAGAUGGAAUUCCGGGUGUAGCGGUGGAAUGCGUAGAGAUCCGGAAGAACACCGGUGGCGAAGGCGGUCUGCUGGGCAGUUGCUGACGCUGAUGCG
rnacentral:rRNA from 1 species